UACGUAGGGUCCGAGCGUUGUCCGGAAUUAUUGGGCGUAAAGGGCUCGUAGGCGGUUUGUCGCGUCUGCUGUGAAAACGCGAGGCUCAACCUCGCGCCUGCAGUGGGUACGGGCAGACUAGAGUGCGGUAGGGGAGAUUGGAAUUCCUGGUGUAGCGGUGGAAUGCGCAGAUAUCAGGAGGAACACCGGUGGCGAAGGCGGGUCUCUGGGCCGAUGACUGACGCUGAGGAGCGAAAGCGUGGGGAGCAAACAGG
rnacentral:rRNA from 1 species